AGCUUUGCACAGUGGCAGUAUUGUAGCCGAUGAGGUUUAUCCAAGGCAUGAUUAUUGCUAAUUGAAAUUCAAAAAAAGCUGGGGGGAGAAAAAGGCCAGCAUGAAGAAAAAGAGGAAGGUACAGAAUGAUUGGAAUUGGCAGGUUA